rnacentral:rRNA from 1 species
CAAUAGCGUAUAUUAAAGUUGUUGCGGUUAAAAAGCUCGUAGUUGGAUUUCUGCCGAGGACGACCGGUCCGCCCUCUGGGUGAGCAUCUGGCUCGGCCUGGGCAUCUUCUUGGAGAACGUAUCUGCACUUGACUGUGUGGUGCGGUAUUCAGGACUUUUACUUUGAGGAAAUUAGAGUGUUUCAAGCAGGCACACGCCUUGAAUACAUUAGCAUGGAAUAAUAAGAUAGGACUUUGGUACUAUUUUGUUGGUUUGAGAACCAAGGUAAUGAUCAAUAGGGACAGUUGGGGGUAUUCGUAUUCAGUUGUCAGAGGUGAAAUUCUUAGAUUUCCGGAAGACGAACUACUGCGAAAGCAUUUACCAAGGAUGUUUUCAUUAAUCAAGAACGAAAGUAUGGGGAUCGAAGAUGAUCAGAUACCGU